GACGAACGCUGGCGGCGUGCUUAACACAUGCAAGUCGAGCGAGAACCUCGGAAGGGGUAACCCUUCCGAGGGGAGAGCGGCGAACGGGUGAGUAACACGUGGGCAACCUGCCCCGGACACCGGGAUAACCCAGGGAAACCUGAGCUAAUACCGGAUACUCCGGCGUGAUUACAUGGUCGUGCCGGGAAAGCUCCGACGGUCCGGGAUGGGCCCGCGGCCUAUCAGCUUGUUGGUGGGGUAACGGCCUACCAAGGCGG
rnacentral:rRNA from 1 species